rnacentral:rRNA from 1 species
AACUAAGGAUUAGAUACCCUAUUAUAAAAAAUUAAAAUAAAUUACUAAAAUAGUAUAUAAUUAUUUAUUGAAACUUAAAUAAUUUGGCGGUAUUUUAGUUCAUUUAGAGGAAUCUGUCUAGUAAUUGAUAAUCCACGAAUAAAUUUACUUAAUUUAUAAUUUUGUAUAUCAUUGUUAAAAAAAUAUUUUUUAGUAAAAUUAAUAUUUAAAAAUUUUAAUAUGGGAAUUAAUUCAGAUCAAGAUGCAGAGUAUAAUUAAGAAUAUGAUGGAUUACAAUAAAUAUAUUUAAAUGAAUAAUUUUAUUGUAAAUAAAUUUGAAGGUGGAUUUAGAUGUGAUUUGGAAUGAAACGUGGAACUGUCC